AGAGUUUGAUCCUGGCUCAGGAUGAACGCUAGCGGGAGGCUUAAUACAUGCAAGUCGAACGGUAACAGGACAGAACUUCGGUUCAGUCGCUGACGAGUGGCGCACGGGUGAGUAACGCGUACGCAAUCUGCCCUCAAGCGGAGGAUAGCCCCGGGAAACUGGGAUUAAUACUCCAUAGUCUGUUGAUAUCGCCUGAUAUUAACAGUAAAGCUCCGGUGCUUGAGGAUGAGCGUGCGUCCUAUUAGGUAGUUGGUGAGGUAACGGCUCACCAAGCCGACGAUAGGUAGGGGGCGUGAGAGCGUGGACCCCCACACGGGUACUGAGACACGGACCCGACUCCUACGGGAGGCAGCAGUAAGGAAUAUUGGACAAUGGACGCAAGUCUGACCCAGCAACGCCGCGUGGAGGAUGAAGGUCGUAAGAUCGUAAACUCCUUUUUUUGGGGAAGAAAAAAUAGGUUUAUAGCCUAUAUUGACUGUACCCAUAGAAUAAGCCCCGGCUAACUACGUGCCAGCAGCCGCGGUAAUACGUAGGGGGCAAGCGUUGUCCGGAUUUACUGGGUAUAAAGGGAGCGCAGGCGGACUUGUCAGUCAGAGGUGAAAUCCUACAGCUUAACUGUAGAACUGCCUUUGAUACUGCAAGUCUUGAGAUCGGAAGAGAGAGAUGGAAUUCCAGGUGUAGUGGUGAAAUACGUAGAUAU
rnacentral:rRNA from 1 species